GACAUAGGUCGCGAACGUUAUCCGGAAUUAUUGGGCGUAAAGGGUGCGUAGAUGGUUUGAUAAGUUAGCAGUGGUAAAUCGAGGCUCAACCUCGUGGAAGUUGAUAAUACUGUCAUACUGGAGCACAGGAGAGGUUAACGGAAUUUCCCAUGGAGCGGUGAAAUGCGUGGAUAUGGGAAGGAACAUCAAUAACGGCGAAGGCAGUUAACUAUUCUAGUUGCUGACAUUGAGGCACGAAAGCGUGGGGAGCAAAACGG
rnacentral:rRNA from 1 species